rnacentral:tRNA from 1 species
UCCUGGUUAGCUCAUUUGGUAGAGCGCGCUCCGCUGGAGGUGGAGAGGUCCCUGGUUCGAUACCAAGACUAGGCA